ACGCUGGCGGCAGGCCUAACACAUGCAAGUCGAGCGGAUGACGGGAGCUUGCUCCCUGAUUUAGCGGCGGACGGGUGAGUAAUGCCUAGGAAUCUGCCUGGUAGUGGGGGAUAACGUUCCGAAAGGAACGCUAAUACCGCAUACGUCCUACGGGAGAAAGCAGGGGACCUUCGGGCCUUGCGCUAUCAGAUGAGCCUAGGUCGGAUUAGCUAGUUGGUGAGGUAAUGGCUCACCAAGGCGACGAUCCGUAACUGGUCUGAGAGGAUGAUCAGUCACACUGGAACUGAGACACGGUCCAGACUCCUACGGGAGGCAGCAGUGGGGAAUAUUGGACAAUGGGCGAAAGCCUGAUCCAGCCAUGCCGCGUGUGUGAAGAAGGUCUUCGGAUUGUAAAGCACUUUAAGUUGGGAGGAAGGGCAGUAAGCUAAUACCUUGCUGUUUUGACGUUACCGACAGAAUAAGCACCGGCUAACUUCGUGCCAGCAGCCGCGGUAAUACGAAGGGUGCAAGCGUUAAUCGGAAUUACUGGGCGUAAAGCGCGCGUAGGUGGUUCGUUAAGUUGGAUGUGAAAGCCCCGGGCUCAACCUGGGAACUGCAUCCAAAACUGGCGAGCUAGAGUACGGUAGAGGGUGGUGGAAUUUCCUGUGUAGCGGUGAAAUGCGUAGAUAUAGGAAGGAACACCAGUGGCGAAGGCGACCACCUGGACUGAUACUGACACUGAGGUGCGAAAGCGUGGGGAGCAAACAGGAUUAGAUACCCUGGUAGUCCACGCCGUAAACGAUGUCAACUAGCCGUUGGAAUCCUUGAGAUUUUAGUGGCGCAGCUAACGCAUUAAGUUGACCGCCUGGGGAGUACGGCCGCAAGGUUAAAACUCAAAUGAAUUGACGGGGGCCCGCACAAGCGGUGGAGCAUGUGGUUU
rnacentral:rRNA from 1 species